UUAUACAGUGGAGUGCAUGUGGAAGUAAACAAUUGGAUAUGUUAAAUAAGUGGUGAGUCAACUAGCGGAACCGUGGGCGUGUGGAUUGUCCUAACAGCCGGCGGACGAAUACAAACAUAUAUUGAUCGGCGCACGAUUAUUUUCUGUACUGUGAAUUUUGGUCAAAAUGGAAAAUGAAAUGGAUAGAGGACCGACAGAUUCCGACGAUUACAACUUACAUGACGAAAAUGUGCAGUUGUUUGAGACUGUGGUUCGGUACAGCAGACUUGCAACCCGAAAGCAACCGGAAACACUCUUGCUCUUUGGAUUAUCGGGUUCGGGAAAGACCUCUAUUGUUAACACGAUCUUCAAUGAAUUGACUGGUAUACCUGAAUCAGCUUUACAGGCUGGCUCUGGUAGCACCCAGUCUAAAACACUUGACUUCAAGUGGUAUGUCAAUUGUGGGAUACUCCAGGAAAAUAUAAUCGAUUU